ensembl:lncRNA
UCUGUCUGAUGGUGGUUCUGUCUGAUGGUGAUUGUCCCUGCAGUGAUCCUGUCGUACACCUCGCUUACUACUUUGUCUGAAUCAUUUCUGUUAUAUGAAUUGAAUGUCUUGUACAUAUUUUACAUUGUUCAUUCUGUACACAUGACAUUGUAGUCUCACUAAGGUUUCUUUCUCUCCCCAUAUAUUUAGAAAGAGUUUUUCUGUGCCGAUGUGAAGGUUUCUGGACAGAGGAUGUUGCCUGCCACGGCCCUCUUCAGUCACAGACGACGAAGCCUGCGAUGCACCAGAGGACCUGCUGGAGGCUCCACAUGAACUCCACCUUGUCCCCUGCCCAGUGGGGGUCAGGAAUGUGUGUGCAAAUACCGCUGCUAUCUUCCAACCAGACAUUAUGAUAA